AGAUUGAAAAUUUGUCGGGUUUUUAAUUACUGUACAAAAUUUCAGACACUUUGGUUUAGUUUAAGCCCUUUAACUAUUCAUUUUGUUCUAAAAAGUCAGCCUUUCGCAUGCUUAAUAAAUGCCUUUACCUAAUUUGCAUAUUGCUGACAUCUGCAAAUUAGGCAAAUGCAUUAAUUAAGCAUGCAAUAGCUGAUUUUUCGGGAAAAUUGUAACUUUGCGUGAAUAGUUAAGGGGCUUAAACUAAACGAAAUUGUCUGAA
rnacentral:lncRNA from 1 species